rnacentral:rRNA from 1 species
CGGCACGGGUGGGUAACACGUAUCCAACCUGCCGUCUACUCUUGGACAGCCUUCUGAAAGGAAGAUUAAUACAAGAUGGCAUCAUGAGUCCGCAUGUUCACAUGAUUAAAGGUAUUCCGGUAGACGAUGGGGAUGCGUUCCAUUAGAUAGUAGGCGGGGUAACGGCCCACCUAGUCUUCGAUGGAUAGGGGUUCUGAGAGGAAGGUCCCCCACAUUGGAACUGAGACACGGUCCAA